UACCUCUGGAGGUGGAAUAUCAGGAUAACAACACCUACAGCUGUGUGCUCAACAAUCCCAUCAGCAACCAGACUCAACAUCUGGACAUCACUCAACUCUGUCACACAUCUGCAGGUACAGCAGCGCUGAUAUGUGUGUUUAUUUAUUGACCUGGUCUCUGUCUUCUGUUGUACAGCAGACUGAUGCAUUCACUUCUUUAUGAUUACAGCACUGGAUGGACACUUUACUUCAGAGCCAAUCUUUCUGAUAGUGUUGAUUUCUGCUGCUGGAUCUCUGUUGUUUGUAGCUACAGUCGGGAUCUUCUGCAUCUACAAGAGAAACAGAAAAUCGGAUCAAGAAGGCAAGUAUUACUUUUUUGUGAAUUACAGUAACAUCACAACACAGUAUGGCCAUAGACGGUGCCAUUAAACUAGUUACAUUUUAGUUUUGUUUUUAAUGUCAUGUUUUUUUAUUGUAUUAUAGCUGUUGUUGUUGAUAAUGAAGCAGUUCAGACUUGUGAUGAAGAGAUCACUUACGCUGAUCCGACAUUCUUCAAACGAAAUAAACAGAAACCGAAACAGACUGAAGCUAAACAAUCAAACUGGAUCUCUGACCAUCACAAACAUCACAACUCAACAUACGGGACUCUAUGAAGUAAAGAUAAUUGGGAGAAAAGAAUUAUACAAAAACAUUACAAUGUUUCUGUCUAUGGUGAGGAGAUCAUUUGUCUGUCCUUUACAAAUUAUUUUGU
rnacentral:lncRNA from 1 species